rnacentral:rRNA from 1 species
AGAACGAACGCUGGCGGCAGGCUUAACACAUGCAAGUCGAACGCUCGUAGCAAUACGGGAGUGGCAGACGGGUGAGUAACACGUGGGAACGCGCCCUUCGGUUCGGAAUAACUCAGGGAAACUUGGGCUAAUACCGGAUACGCCCUUACGGGGAAAGAUUUAUUGCCGAAGGAACGGCCCGCGUCCGAUUAGCUUGUUGGUGAGGUAACGGCUCACCAAGGCGACGAUCGGUAGCUGGUCUGAGAGGAUGACCAGCCUCACUGGGACUGAGACACGGCCCAGACUCCUACGGGAGGCAGCAGUGGGGAAUAUUGGACAAUGGGCGCAAGCCUGAUCCAGCCAUGCCGCGUGGGUGAUGAAGGCCCUAGGGUUGUAAAGCCCUUUCGGCGGGGAAGAUAAUGACGGUACCCGCAGAAGAAGCCCCGGCUAACUUCGCGCCAGCAGCCGC